UAACUGGUUCUGACUCCUAAAACAAAGUAACUUAACAGACCCAGAGAUAAACUGACUUCUGCUACAUUGUUUUAAUAUUUAAAAGCAAGAGUGACUACAUGGAUCAGAAAGGGGCAAAUACUGCCACCAAUCAUAAAUAAUUUUAAAUAUGUUUAAAGUGUUAAUAAAAAAUUCCUAAAAGGAAUUUGUAAAUAUUAAUAAUAUUGAUUUUGUAUGAAAGUUCAUACAUGCCGCUCUCACUCAGCCACAAUUCCUCCACUGACAAGUGCAGUGCUGUGCAGAGAGCAGCUCCCUGUGGUCAUACUGAGCAGGGACAGUUGACUUUUGCAUAGGCUGGGUGGCAGAUCUAAGCCUUACUACAGCCUAUGGAAGGAUCAUGUAACCACCCGGGUGCACUUCCUGAGUCAGGGCCUGGAAGAGGAUAGUUAUAUUACUAGCUAGGGGUGGCUUAGGCUUAUGUGAACCUUUGUGCUAAAUGAGCAGUGCGGUGCUGCAUUAUUAGUAAUCCAGAUAGGAUUUCUAAUGAUGCAAUAGAAGUACAUUUUCAUUCAUUAUGCAAAAAGCUUUUUUUUGGUGGACACCCUCUUGAAUCAUUAAUAAAGGAUUUAUGUAAAGUUACUGAACAUAUAUGAAACUCUGAUAUUUCAUCUCUUGUUGGUCCCUUUUAGGGAUGGACGAAUUUUUGCCUUGUUUUGCCGCAAAAAUGACGCCCAUAGACUUGUAUGGCAUUGUGUGUCAAAAAAAAACGCCCAUAGACUUUAAUGGGCAUCGGUGUCAUUUCGCCGCUGGCGAAUUUUUGGUGAAACAAAACGGGUCAAAUUCGCCCAUCCCUAGUCCCUUUCUCAGAUUGUGUCAUCGACAUUACGUGGCAGCAAGAAACAUCUUGCCAAAAAGGAUCAAGAGAAAUCAGAGGAGGAUUCUGACAACAUCCUGACUGAAUACCAAGUUUUCAAGAUUGCCAAGGACAGUCCUUUCCUAUGGCUUGGCUGCUUUUCAAUAAGAGCUCCUGAAUAAACAACCUUAUCAUAUCCUGGGUGUGCAUAGAAAUAUCAGAUACCAUCAAUUUUAUUCAACUAUUAAUUGGCUGGAACUUGAACAACAAAGGAUACCACCACCUUUCCAGCCAUCAAAGGAAUAUUUAAAGCAAAUUAAUGGAAAAGCUAUGUUAACUUUGGACAACCUGAUCCAUGACCCCACACCAGAGGAGCAAAUAACAAUUGAAGGGUUUUCCUUCCUUAACUCCAGCUGGCAAAAGGACCAAACCACCUGUCCUCAGAGAAAAGAAGAGAAUGAGAAAAGAGAAGAAAAAGGAAGAAGAACUUUGAGCAAUGAAGUAUCUCUACAAAGCUCUGAUUUUCAUCAAUAGUAAAGUUUUGCACUGCCCAUAUUGGCAUCAUGGGCCAAAACACUCACUGGAUAACCCCUGCUGAUAUGGAGCACAGCAAUUCCCACAAUAAGAGAAAAGUAAUGCAUUGACUUUUAGUGGUUCUGUUGGUAUGUAUAUAUAAUAUACCCAGCUGUCUUGGAAAAAGGAGGGCAGUAUCACCCUUCCCAACAAAAUAUUUCCCCCCCCUGAUAUUUUAGGAAGGAUUUUUUUCUGCACCCGCCACCUGGGGAAAGGAAAUGGCAGCCUCAUUAUGGUUGACACUCACUAUUGUUUGCCCACCUGAAGCUGCCACCUUGUCUCUUCAGAUCACCAGUAGUGGCAACCCAGUACCUCAGUUCCACUGCCCAAGUCUGAUCUGUGCUACUAACUACCCCAGGUUACCUAAAUACGACAGAGUUCAAAUUCACCAAUUAAAAUGCUUCUUAUGCCAUAGGUUUUGACCUUGUAAAAAAAAAAAUUCAGGUGGUGCCAUACCUAUAUGUUACUGGGCCCAACAGCAAAAACAUUUUACAAUCCUCUUCUAGUAGUUGAGAUAGAUCAAAGGUUUUUUUCUUCACCUAUUUUAACAAUGGAAAUGUUGACAGCAACACAACAAAAAUGUUAGAACUAUAUUGUUACAACAGAAGCUAGUCAAGCCCUGGCAAAAAAAAUAUAUUUUUUUAAAUACUGCGCCUAAUAGCUGCAAGAUUCAACAAUACAUUAUUCAAGGUAGGCCUUCUAGUUUUGUCAAUACACUUGCUGCUUUUAAAGUUCAUUCUAGAAUUCAUUACAAAGUAAUGCCAAAUUUAGAUUUUAUAUUGUAUUUGAUGGGAAGGGGGGUUAAAAAGAAGAAUAAUACCUAAGUAUCUUGAAAACAAUUACAUUUUGCACAGCCAUUAUUAUUUUAAUACAUGCAUUGCUCGGUUAGCAUCUGUGCGCUCCCUUUUCUUGUUUUGCCAUAAUCACCUAAUAAAUAUUUAAAUGGACCCAUUUGCCGCAACUGGAAAAGAACCGUGUAAACCUGUUGUCAUCUAGACCCAUAAGCCGUUGUGGAGUCAAUGAAUUUAAGUCACUUAAAAUCACAGCCACAAGCUAACUCAAACCUGCCAAAUAACUGUCUGCCAGGAAUCAACUGCUGGACCAAGGUUGCCUUCUCUAAGCUAGGACACUCAGUUCAUUAUGAAUGCUUGCAUUGCUUGUAUAAUUAGGCCUGGGAGAGGCUUAACAACCCUGCUACAGAUUUGCUGCUUACAAAUAUAAAAAUACAAGCCUUGUUCAAAUUAGCAAUGUGAGUUGAGCACCAACUGUCUGACCAAGUGAAAAAAAAAAAAAUCCUGAUCCACAGAGUGGUUAUUUUGGUUCAUAAAACUCUCCUAUGUCAGCCACAGGAGGUCCGCCGUAAAAUGAAUUAUAGUAAGCUGUAUGUGAUAAUUAACCAGGCAUUAGCAAAUAUGUUGGAACAGGGAGGCUCUGUUUAACUGAAUUUUAACUAAUAAAAGCAUGAAUUUGUUCAACAAAUGAUCAUUUAGGCAGUGGAAUGUUCAGGGUAUUGGAGGAACACUGAGCAACAGAAUACUGUAGGGGACUGAAAAGUUUCCUUACAAAAACAUUACUGUUUUAUAGGCUGGCAACAUACUGCAAUGUUAUUCAGGCUCCUGUAAGGAAAAGAGUCUCUAUGAAACAAAUACAAUACACGUAUAGUGUAUCAAAUGUCUUCUACUAUUUGUAUUAAUAUGCAAAGUCAUUUAUAUGGUUACGUGUUAAGUAAAAACUCUGCUAGAAGAUUUAGGUAGGGGGUGGGAAUUUGCAUAUCUAUUUACAACUAUGCUUCCAUAAAAAAAAAUAGGGUGCUGUAAAUUUAAUGUAAAUUAAAACAAAAAGUGAGAAUGAGAAUUUGCAAAUCAUGUUAACCUUAUAUUUAAUUGCAAAUAGUAUAAAGACAACAUAACAUGAGAAAAUGUAUUGAUUACUGAAAAACAUGAACGAUGCCAACAACAAGUUCCAAAAAAGUUGGGACAAAGCCAAAAAAGACUAAUAAAGUUGGAAAUGCUCUUUUUAGUAUUACAUGAGGGGUUGGGUCUCUCGGAAGUAAUGAUAGUGAGGGGUACACCUCUAUCAGGCAAGAAUGGGACAAAAUUUCACUUUCAAAACAAAAAAAUGAGAGAUGGUCUUUCCAUAAUACGGAGAUUUCUGGAUAACAGGUUUCCGCAUAACAGAUCUUAUACCUGUAUAAAUGCGUGUAUAAAUAUACACCAUUAUGUUACAUCGUAUUAAUUAUCACAGAACUAAAAGUUUGAUAAAUUUUUGAAAACCAGCCAGUCCGCAUGUACUAUUUAUACACUGGUCUCCAAGUCGUCCCUCUCUUUACCAAAUCAGCAGUCUUUUGUCCCUUGUCUGCAGCCACACUGAUUUAAAUCACUGUUAAUGGAUAUUUCACCUUUAAGUAAACUUUAAGUAUGUUAUAGAA